rnacentral:rRNA from 1 species
CACGUAAUGGUGGGAACUCAAAGGAGACUGCCGGUGAUAAACCGGAGGAAGGUGGGGANGACGUCAAGUCAUCAUGGCCCUUANGAGUAGGGNUACACNCGUGNUACAAUGGCAGAUACAAAGAGAAGCGACCUNGNGAGAGCAAGCGGAACUCAUAAAGUCUGUNGUAGUCCGGAUUGGAGUNUGCAACUCGACUCCAUGAAGUCGGAANCGCUAGUAAUCGUAGAUCAGAAUGCUACGGNGAAUACGUUCCCGGGCCUUGUACAC